UGGGGAAUAUUGGACAAUGGGCGCAAGCCUGAUCCAGCCAUGCCGCGUGAGUGACGAAGGCCUUAGGGUUGUAAAGCUCUUUUGGCGGGGAAGAUGAUGACGGUACCCGCAGAAUAAGCUCCGGCUAACUUCGUGCCAGCAGCCGCGGUAAUACGAGGGGAGCUAGCGUUGUUCGGAAUCACUGGGCGUAAAGCGCACGUAGGUGGGCAGUUAAGUCAGGGGUGAAAGCCCGAGGCUCAACCUCGGAAUUGCCUCUGAUACUGGCUGUCUAGAGUUCGAGAGAGGUGAGUGGAAUUCCUAGUGUAGAGGUGAAAUGCGUAGAUAUUAGGAAGAACACCAGUGGCGAAGGCGGCUCACUGGCCCGAUACUGACGCUGAGGUGCGAAAGCGUGGGGAGCAAACAGGAUUAGAUACCCCAGUAGUCCCUGAGCGGGCUGGCAAGGCGCAU
rnacentral:rRNA from 1 species